GACGAACGCUGGCGGCGUGCUUAACACAUGCAAGUCGAACGCUGAAGCUCAGCUUUUGUUGGGUGGAUGAGUGGCGAACGGGUGAGUAACACGUGAGUAACCUGCCCCCUUCUUUGGGUUAACGCCCGGAAACGGGUGCUAAUACUGGAUAUUCACUGGUCUUCGCAUGGGGGUUGGUGGAAAGGGUUUUUCUGGUGGGGGAUGGGCUCGCGGCCUAUCAGCUUGUUGGUGGGGUGAUGGCCUACCAAGGCUUUGACGGGUAGCCGGCCUGAGAGGGUGACCGGUCACAUUGGGACUGAGAUACGGCCCAGACUCCUACGGGAGGCAGCAGUGGGGAAUAUUGCACAAUGGGCGCAAGCCUGAUGCAGCGACGCCGCGUGAGGGAUGGAGGCCUUCGGGUUGUGAACCUCUUUCGCUCAUGGUCAAGCCGCAACAAUGGUUGUGGUGAGGGUAGUGGGUAAAGAAGCGCCGGCUAACUACGUG
rnacentral:rRNA from 1 species